AUGGUAGGAUAGAGGCCUACCAUGGUGGUAACGGGUAACGGGGUGUUAGGGCACGACACCGGAGAGGGAGCCUGAGAAACGGCUACCACAUCCAAGGAUGGCAGCAGGCGCGCAAAUUACCCAAUCCCGACACGGGGAGGUAGUGACAAUAAAUAACAAUACGGGGUUCUUUAGGAUCUCGUAAUUGGAAUGAGUACAAUUUAAAUCUCUUAACGAGGAACAAUUGGAGGGCAAGUCUGGUGCCAGCAGCCGCGGUAAUUCCAGCUCCAAUAGCGUAUAUUAAAGUUGUUGCAGUUAAAAAGCUCGUAGUUGAAUUUCGGGGUUAGUAGGUUGGUCAUGCCUCUGGUAUGUACUGGUCUCACUGAUUCCUCCUUCCUUAUGAACCGUAAUGCCAUUAAUUUGGUGUUGCGGGGAAUUUGGACUGUUACUUUGAAAAAAUUAGAGUGUUUAAAGCAAGCUAACGCUUGAAUACAUUAGCAUGGAAUAAUGAAAUAGGACGUUCGAUCUUAUUUUGUUGGUUUCUAGGAUUGACGUAAUGAUUAAUAGGGAUAGUUGGGGGCAUUAGUAUUCAAUUGUCAGAGGUGAAAUUCUUGGAUUUAUUGAAGACUAACUACUGCGAAAGCAUUUGCCAAGGAUGUUUUCAUUAAUCAAGAACGAAAGUUAGGGGAUCGAAGACGAUCAGAUACCGUCGUAGUCUUAACCAUAAACUAUGCCGACUAGGGAUCGGAUGAUGUA
rnacentral:rRNA from 1 species